CAGUAGCCGCGGUAAUACGGAGGGUGCAAGCGUUAAUCGGAAUUACUGGGCGUAAAGCGCACGCAGGCGGUCUGACAAGUCAGAUGUGAAAUCCCCGGGCUUAACCUGGGAACUGCAUUUGAAACUGUCAGGCUGGAGUCUUGUAGAGGGGGGUGGAAUUCCAGGUGUAGCGGUGAAAUGCGUAGAGAUCUGGAGGAAUACCGGUGGCGAAGGCGGCCCCCUGGACAAAGACAGACGCUCAGGUGCGAAAGCGUGGGGAGCAAACAGGAUUAGAUACCCCGGUAGUCCCUGUCUCUUAUAC
rnacentral:rRNA from 1 species